rnacentral:rRNA from 1 species
UACGAAGGGGGCUAGCGUUGCUCGGAAUCACUGGGCGUAAAGGGUGCGUAGGCGGGUCUUUAAGUCAGGGGGGAAAUCCUGGAGCUCAACUCCAGAACUGCCUUUGAUACUGAAGAUCUUGAGUUCGGGAGAGGUGAGUGGAACUGUGAGUGUAGAGGUGAAAUUCGUAGAUAUUCGCAAGAACACCAGUGGCGAAGGCGGCUCACUGGCCCGAUACUGACGCUGAGGCACGAAAGCGUGGGGAGCAAACAGG